rnacentral:rRNA from 1 species
UACAGAGGGUGCGAGCGUUAAUCGGAAUUACUGGGCGUAAAGCGUGCGUAGACGGUCAUGUAAGUCGGAUGUGAAAUCCCCGGGCUCAACCUGGGAACUGCAUUUGUGACUGCAUCGCUGGAGUGCGGCAGAGGGGGAUGGAAUUCCGCGUGUAGCAGUGAAAUGCGUAGAUAUGCGGAGGAACACCGAUGGCGAAGGCAAUCCCCUGGGCCUGCACUGACGCUCAUGCACGAAAGCGUGGGGAGCAAACAGG